AUUGAACGCUGGCGGCAGGCCUAACACAUGCAAGUCGAGCGCGAAAGGCCUUCGGGCUGAGUAGAGCGGCGGACGGGUGAGUAACGCGUAGGAAUCUACCUGGUAGUGGGGGACAACUUGGGGAAACUCAAGCUAAUACCGCAUACGCCCUAUGGGGGAAAGCGGGGGACCUUCGGGCCUCGCGCUAUCAGAUGAGCCUGCGUAGGAUUAGCUAGUUGGUGAGGUAAAGGCUCACCAAGGCGACGACCCUUAGCUGGUCUGAGAGGAUGAUCAGCCACACUGGGACUGAGACACGGCCCAGACUCCUACGGGAGGCAGCAGUGGGGAAUAUUGCGCAAUGGGGGCAACCCUGACGCAGCCAUGCCGCGUGUGUGAAGAAGGCCUUCGGGUUGUAAAGCACUUUAAGUGGGGAGAAAGGCCCGCUGGUUAAUAGCCAUCGGGAUUGAUGUUACCCACAGAAUAAGCACUGGCUAACUCCGUGCCAGCCGCCGCAGUAACAC
rnacentral:rRNA from 1 species